rnacentral:rRNA from 1 species
UACGGAGGGUGCGAGCGUUGUCCGGAAUCACUGGGCGUAAAGGGCGCGUAGGUGGCCCGUUAAGUGGCUGGUGAAAUCCCGCGGCUCAACUGCGGGGCUGCCGGUCAUACUGGCGAGCUAGAGCACGGUAGGGGCAGAUGGAAUUCCCGGUGUAGCGGUGGAAUGCGUAGAGAUCGGGAAGAAUACCAGUGGCGAAGGCGUUCUGCUGGGCCGUUGCUGACACUGAGAGACGAAAGCUAGGGGAGCAAAUGGG